CGUGGAAGCGACUGCGUGGGAGUUCCUGCCUUCGCCAUGUCGGGGUGGUGCAGCGGCGUGUUGAGGAUACCCUGAAGUGAACAGAAGUAUCCCGGCCCCUUAUUGUCUCUGACUCCAUCCACCCGUCUUUACACGGCGGCAGGCGGACCGCAAGCGCUCAGUCCUCUCGAGGAAACUGCGACAGCGUUUCCUCCAGGCGGACCGCGAACCAAGGAGAGACGCACCAAGUGAUGCUGUUGCGGCCAGCGCUGUCCGCAACAGCGAAAACACAGCAGUGAAGAGUAGGAGUGCAUAGACCACAGCAGCCCAUGAAGAUGUCAAACGCAGUCAUGGGUUUAAACCCCACAGACAGGGUUAUUAAAUCGGUCCCUUUCCCGCUGAGCCACAGACUGAGCAUGCGGGAGGUGUUUGACUGUGAGGGCAAGCCCCGUGUGGACCUUCUGAAGGCCCACCUCACUAAGGAGGGCCGUGUGGAGGAGCCUGUGGCCCUGCGGAUCAUCAACGAGGGAGCUGCUAUCCUCCGACAGGAGGAGACCAUGCUGGACAUCGAGGCCCCAGUUACAGUGUGUGGAGAUAUCCACGGGCAGUUCUUUGACCUGAUGAAGCUCUUUGAAGUUGGAGGGUCGCCAGCGACAACACGCUAUCUCUUUCUGGGGGACUAUGUGGACCGAGGUUACUUCAGUAUUGAGUGUGUUUUGUAUCUCUGGUCUCUCAAAAUCCUCUACCCAAAGACAUUAUUUCUACUACGGGGAAACCAUGAAUGUAGACACCUGACUGAAUAUUUCACCUUCAAACAGGAAUGUAAAAUCAAAUACUCGGAGCAGGUGUAUGACGCGUGCAUGGAUGCAUUUGACUGUCUGCCACUUGCUGCUCUGAUGAAUCAGCAGUUCCUCUGUGUGCACGGUGGCCUCUCGCCUGAGAUACACACACUAGAUGACAUCAAGAAGCUGGACCGGUUUAAGGAGCCUCCAGCCUUUGGACCCAUGUGUGAUCUACUGUGGUCAGAUCCUCUAGAGGACUUUGGCAAUGAGAAGACCCAGGAAUACUUCAGCCAUAACACUGUUCGCGGCUGUUCCUACUUCUACAGCUAUCCUGCAGUAUGUGAGUUUCUACAGACUAAUAACCUCCUCUCAGUCAUCAGAGCUCACGAGGCCCAGGAUGCAGGCUACCGCAUGUACAGAAAGAGCCAGACGACGGGAUUCCCCUCACUCAUCACCAUAUUCUCCGCGCCCAAUUACCUGGACGUUUACAAUAACAAAGCUGCUGUGUUAAAAUAUGAGAACAACGUGAUGAACAUUCGCCAGUUUAACUGCUCGCCGCACCCCUACUGGUUGCCAAACUUCAUGGACGUCUUCACCUGGUCUCUGCCCUUCGUAGGAGAGAAAGUGACAGAAAUGCUGGUAAACGUCCUCAGCAUCUGCUCGGAUGACGAACUCAUGAACGAUGGCGACGAGAUCUUUGAUGCUAAUGCAGCAGCGGCUCGUAAAGAGGUGAUACGAAACAAAAUUCGUGCCAUUGGCAAAAUGGCUAAAAUGUUCUCAGUAUUACGUGAGGAGAGUGAGAAUGUGUUGACUCUGAAGGGGCUGACCCCCACAGGCAUGCUGCCCAGUGGAGUGUUGUCUGGAGGAAAACAGACCUUACAGAGUGCUACCAUCGAGGCCAUUGAAGCCAUCGAGUCAGUUGAGGACGGAGAAGCCAUCCGUGGCUUUUCUCCACAGCAUAAAAUCACUAGUUUUGAGGAAGCCAAGGGUCUGGACCGCAUUAACGAGCGCAUGCCCCCGCGACGCGAUGUCAUGAACACCGUGGGCCUCUCCAUGGGCCGCAUGAACAUGGCCGAGUCCAACGGCACCGACGACAACAGCAAUAUCCAGUGACUCGUCCUCCACUCCGCCCCCUGCCCCUCCCCCUGGCCUCUGUGCUCACGCCCUGACACUCCCCUUGUUCCUCCGCUCACUCUGCCACCGCUCCCGCGCUUUCCAUCACUCUCUUUUCGCUCUGUGCCCGGCUGCAGGGUGUGACGUGGACAGCCCGCUUAGCAUGCCGUAGGGCAGCGGGAGCAGGACGCAGGAUGCGGGAUGCAGGAUAGUCACUUCAGUCGCCAUCCGGAGGGAAAAGGCAAAAUACAAUUAAUAGUGGGAGGAUGUCCUGUGUGUGUGUGUGUGUGUGUGUGUGUGUGUGUGUGCGGGUGUGUGUGGGUGUGCGGGUGUGUGUGUGACUUGCAAGUGUUUUCUUUCAGUCCCUUGCUCUUCUACCACAUUUUGCUACUAGUAUUUAACAGAUUAUUAGUAUCAAGUACUACUGACUAAACACGGGGACUUGACAUAAAGACUUUGGGGUAUGUUGACAAACGUGUGUUUUCUUGCUGGUUACGCCCCUUCUCCCACCUUCAGUUGCGUGCUCUUGUAUACUCCGCUGUGGUAACGUCUCGCAGAGGCUGAUGUAGGCACUCUAGCACUCUUGGAACUGCCUUCCUCCCCAGACUCGUACCCACCCGCUGGAUUCCCGCUGGGGCGCCAUGUGUUCCUUUACUGUUAACUUUAACCUGCUUCAGCUGAGGAAGACUGGUUAAGGGGGCCGUAUGUCCUAGGGCUUGUGGGGAUUGUGAAAGUUCACGUGGUGAAGGUUUUGUUUGUUUUUUGUUUUUUUUUGUUUGUUUUUUUAAUUAAUUAAUUUAUUAAUUUAUUUAUUUUGUGGAAAUGUACUGUAAGGUCUCAAUCAGGUCCUGUCCUGUCCAGCUGCAAAAGACUGAACUGAGAUCCAGCUACUCCUAACAUGUGGGAUCUUGAUUUGUAUAUAAACCGUAUAUAAAUAUUUUUAAGGGAUGAUCAUCACUUAUUUAUGUUUGUAAUUUUUUUCUAUUUAAGCUCAUAUUAUUUAUUUAUUUGUGUAUUUAUUCACUAGCUUGUUUUUAUUUGUUUGUUGUUGCUGUAAAUUUCAGUUAAGCUCCUGUAAGGAUUAAAAAUUUUAUUUUAUUAUUACGAUUAUAAUUUUUUUUGUUGAUGUACAGACGUUGUUGAGUGAGAAUGAUAAUCUAAUCUGUUUGGUAAGAUGUGGGCAGACUAAGCAUGACUGCAUGGUUAACUCCAGCUGUACUACAAACAGGCACUGAUCGUGUCCACCUUUUUAAGGACAAAUAUAUUCUUAUCUUUAUUCUCCACAAUAUUCUUAUUUAUUAUAAAUACGCUUUCUGCUGGUUUCUUCCACUCUACCUGAUCCUUGUUUGGUCGCUCAUUGUGGUUUACUUUAACGAAAACUGAAGCAUUUCAUGAGUUAUUUGUGAUUCUCUCGUACUUUUCUCUGAAACUGAGUUUUGGCACUAUGACUUCCUGAUCUCUAGACAGUGUAAGCAUGCCACAUGGACAAAGCUCUUUUUUUACUCUUGAAUAAAAUAUGCAUGAACCUUU